GACGAACGCUGGCGGCGUGCUUAACACAUGCAAGUCGAACGGAAAGGCCCUUCGGGGUACUCGAGUGGCGAACGGGUGAGUAACACGUGGGUGAUCUGCCCUGCACUUUGGGAUAAGCCUGGGAAACUGGGUCUAAUACCGAAUACACCCUGCUGGUCGCAUGGCCUGGUGGGGGAAAGCUUUUGCGGUGUGGGAUGGGCCCGCGGCCUAUCAGCUUGUUGGUGAGGUUACGGCUCACCAAGGCGACGACGGGUAGCCGGCCUGAGAGGGUGACCGGCCACACUGGGACUGAGAUACGGCCCAGACUCCUACGGGAGGCAGCAGUGGGGAAUAUUGCACAAUGGGCGCAAGCCUGGUGCAGCGACGCCGCGUGAGGGAUGACGGCCUUCGGGUUGUAAACCUCUUUCGCCAGGGACGAAGCGCAAGUGACGGUACCUGGAGAAGAAGGACCGGCCAACUACGUGCCAGCAGCCGCGGUAAUACGUAGGGUCCGAGCGUUGUCCGGAAUUACUGGGCGUAAAGAGCUCGUAGGUGGUUUGUCGCGUUGUUCGUGAAAACUCACAGCUUAACUGUGGGCGUGCGGGCGAUACGGGCAGACUGGAGUACUGCAGGGGAGACUGGAAUUCCUGGUGUAGCGGUGGAAUGCGCAGAUAUCAGGAGGAACACCGGUGGCGAAGGCGGGUCUCUGGGCAGUAACUGACGCUGAGGAGCGAAAGCGUGGGGAGCGAACAGGAUUAGAUACCCUGGUAGUCCACGCCGUAAACGGUGGGUACUAGGUGUGGGUUUCCUUCCUUGGGAUCCGUGCCGUAGCUAACGCAUUAAGUACCCCGCCUGGGGAGUACGGCCGCAAGGCUAAAACUCAAAGAAAUUGACGGGGGCCCGCACAAGCGGCGGAGCAUGUGGAUUAAUUCGAUGCAACGCGAAGAACCUUACCUGGGUUUGACAUGCACAGGACGUGCCUAGAGAUAGGUAUUCCCUUGUGGCCUGUGUGCAGGUGGUGCAUGGCUGUCGUCAGCUCGUGUCGUGAGAUGUUGGGUUAAGUCCCGCAACGAGCGCAACCCUUAUCUUAUGUUGCCAGCGCGUAAUGGCGGGGACUCGUGAGAGACUGCCGGGGUCAACUCGGAGGAAGGUGGGGAUGACGUCAAGUCAUCAUGCCCCUUAUGUCCAGGGCUUCACACAUGCUACAAUGGCCGGUACAAAGGGCUGCGAUGCCGUGAGGUGGAGCGAAUCCUUGUUAAAGCCGGUCUCAGUUCGGAUCGGGGUCUGCAACUCGACCCCGUGAAGUCGGAGUCGCUAGUAAUCGCAGAUCAGCAACGCUGCGGUGAAUACGUUCCCGGGCCU
rnacentral:rRNA from 1 species